AACGCGAAGAACCUUACCUGGGCUCGAACGGCUGGUCAACGGCGGUGGAAACACCGCUACCCCGCAAGGGGGUCCAGUCGAGGUGCUGCAUGGCUGUCGUCAGCUCGUGUCGUGAGAUGUUGGGUUAAGUCCCGCAACGAGCGCAACCCUUGUCCUGUGUUGCCAUACCGAAAGGUGGAACUCGCAGGAGACCGCCAGCGAUAAGCUGGAGGAAGGUGGGGAUGACGUCAAGUCCUCAUGGCCUUUAUGUCCAGGGCUACACACGUGCUACAAUGGACGGUACAAAGGGUCGCUAACCCGCGAGGGGGAGCCAAUCCCAAAAAACCGUUCUCAGUUCGGAUUGCAGGCUGCAACCCGCCUGCAUGAAGCUGGAAUCGCUAGUAAUGGCAGAUCAGCACGCUGCCGUGAAUACGUUCCCGGGCCUUGUACACACCGUAGAGAC
rnacentral:rRNA from 1 species